rnacentral:rRNA from 1 species
GAUGGACGCUAGCUACAGGCUUAACACAUGCAAGUCGAGGGGAAACGACAUCGAAAGCUUGCUUUUGAUGGGCGUCGACCGGCGCACGGGUGAGUAACGCGUAUCCAACCUGCCCACCACUUGGGGAUAACCUUGCGAAAGUAAGACUAAUACCCAAUGAUAUCUCUAGAAGACAUCUGAAAGAGAUUAAAGAUUUAUCGGUGAUGGAUGGGGAUGCGUCUGAUUAGCUUGUUGGCGGGGUAACGGCCCACCAAGGCAACGAUCAGUAGGGGUUCUGAGAGGAAGGUCCCCCACAUUGGAACUGAGACACGGUCCAAACUCCUACGGGAGGCAGCAGUGAGGAAUAUUGGUCAAUGGACGAGAGUCUGAACCAGCCAAGUAGCGUGCAGGAAGACGGCCCUAUGGGUGGUAAACUGCUUUUAUAAGGGAAUAAAGUGAGUCUCGUGAGACUUUUUGCAGGUACCUUAUGAAUAAGGACCGGCUAAUUCCGUG